UACGGGGGGGAGCAAGCGUUGUUCGGAUUUACUGGGUUUAAAGGGUGCGUAGGCGGACAGGUAAGUCAGUGGUGAAAUCUCCGGGCUUAACCCGGAAAGGUCAGCCGAUACUGCGGGGCUAGAGUGCAGAAGGGGCAACUGGAAUUCUCGGUGUAGCGGUGAAAUUCGUAGAUAUUCGCAAGAACACCAGUGGCGAAGGCGGCUUACUGGUCCGGUUCUGACGCUGAGGCGCGAAAGCGUGGGGAGCAAACAGG
rnacentral:rRNA from 1 species